UACUUGCCGGCGACCGGCGCAAGGUGCGUAACGCGUGAGCAACAUGCCCGUAUCAGGGGGAUAAUCCAUGGAAACGUGGUCUAAUACCCCAUAGUAAUUAUGUAAGGCAUCUUAUAUAAUUUAAAGCUUUGGUGGAUACGGAUUGGCUCGCGUGACAUUAGCUAGAUGGUAAGGUAACGGCUUACCAUGGCUACGAUGUCUAGGGGUUCUGAGAGGAAGGUCCCCCCACACUGGAACUGAGACACGGUCCAGACUCCUACGGGAGGCAGCAGUGAGGAAUAUUGGACAAUGGAUGGAAAUCUGAUCCAGCCAUGCCGCGUGCAAGGAAGACGGCCCUAUGGGUUGUAAACUGCUUUUGUAUGGGAGCAAUAAGGGCUACGUGUAGUCCGAUGAGAGUACCAUACGAAUAAGCACCGGCUAACUCCGUGCCAGCCGCCGC
rnacentral:rRNA from 1 species